UACAGAGGGGGCAAGCGUUAUUCGGAAUUAUUGGGCGUAAAGGGCGCGUAGGCGGCUUGGCAAGUGGAUGGUGAAAUCCCUCGGCUUAACCGAGGAACUGCCGUCCAAACUGCUUUGCUUGAGGCCGGGAGAGGUGAGUGGAAUUCCCAGUGUAGCGGUGAAAUGCGUAGAUAUUGGGAGGAACACCAGUGGCGAAGGCGCCUCACUGGACCGGUACUGACGCUGAUGCGCGAAAGCGUGGGGAGCAAGCGGGG
rnacentral:rRNA from 1 species